rnacentral:rRNA from 1 species
AUCUACAGCCACGAUACCCUGAACAAACCCAAUCCCGUCUGAUCUCGGAAGCUAAGCAGGGUCAGGCCUGGUUCGUACUUGAAUGGAAGACCGCCUAGGAAGACUAGGUGCUGUAGGCG